rnacentral:rRNA from 1 species
GUGGGGUGAUGGCCUACCAAGGCGACGACGGGUAGCCGGCCUGAGAGGGUGUCCGGCCACACUGGGACUGAGAUACGGCCCAGACUCCUACGGGAGGCAGCAGUGGGGAAUAUUGCACAAUGGGCGCAAGCCUGAUGCAGCGACGCCGCGUGAGGGACGACGGCCUUCGGGUUGUAAACCUCUUUCAGCACAGACGAAGCGCAAGUGACGGUACGUGCAGAAGAAGCACCGGCCAACUACGUGCCAGCAGCCGCGGUAAUACGUAGGGUGCGAGCGUUGUCCGGAAUUACUGGGCGUAAAGAGCUCGUAGGUGGUUUGUCGCGUUGUUCGUGAAAACUCACAGCUCAACUGUGGGCGUGCGGGCGAUACGGGCAGACUGGAGUACUGCAGGGGAGACUGGAAUUCCUGGUGUAGCGGUGGAAUGCGCAGAUAUCAGGAGGAACACCGGUGGCGAAGGCGGGUCUCUGGGCAGUAACUGACGCUGAGGAGCGAAAGCGUGGGGAGCGAACAGGAUUAGAUACCCUGGUAGUCCACGCCGUAAACGGUGGGUACUAGGUGUGGGUUUCCUUCCUUGGGAUCCGUGCCGUAGCUAACGCAUUAAGU